rnacentral:lncRNA from 1 species
GCUGUGGUCACCUGAUGUCCCUUGGGUGUAGUUUUCUGAGAUACUGUCAUUUGUGGUUGGUAUACCACAAACCAUCGAAGCUUCCUGUAGGUGCUUCCGGAUGUGGUGGUGUUGGAUUAAGUCAUAGUUACAGUCUGCACACUGCAGUUAGUGCAGCACAAGGUGAUCUGCGUUCACCAUGGGCCACAAUCUCUUCUUCUUGGACAUUUCUCCCUCUGGGUUCAGACUUCUUUGGUUCUCCUCCAACCCCAGGUGCUGGGGAUCUGCCACCAUUGUGGUCACCACAGGAGUGUUAGUAGCUGCAUCUCUCUGGCUGGGCUGGGUGAGUAGCUUUUUAAGCUUUUCUUAACAUCUUUGGUGAGAAGAAGGAAAAGAACAGGAGCAUGCUGGGGACAAAUUGAGUAAUGAUGGUGAAGACUAUGUGGGGUGGGAAAUCUGACCUAUCUUGAUGAAUACCCAAGCAGUUUGUCAUAUCAUAAAGAGUUAUAAAUGAGUCCUGAAGCAGGUAUUGUUUAUGCUUUGCAACACUGGAAUUUCUUCUUCACUUACAGACAAGAAUGAGGGACCUGAGAUUAUCCCAUGGUCAGGAACUACUGGGGCUCCAAGAGGAUGAUCCAUGCCAAGGGCACGGCAGCCCUCCUGAUGAACACAGAGAUUAAGUCAUCCCCACAGGUUCCCUAGCAUCUCUGGACAACAGUGUCAGAGGCUACUAACUGCUGGGAUCAAACAGGGGUGCAGUGAUUGAAAGCAAGACCAUGGGUAGACCAGAUGGCCUUCACACACUUAAGGCUCAGAUGUAGGAAACAGGUUGUUUGUUUUAUUUAUUUUUUGUGGAGUGUGGGAGGGCUCAAAACAGGGCUUCUCUGUGUAGCACUGGCUGUGCUGGAACUCCCUGUGUAGACCAGGAUGUUCUUGAACUCACAGAAUGACCUGUCUGUACCUCUUGAGUGCUGGGAUUAAAAAUAUGUGUCACCAUGGCUGGCUAGGAAACACUCAUUUUAUCAUAGUCAUUGUCCAAUACUACAUGUUCAGAGAAUACUGAAUAAAU